rnacentral:rRNA from 1 species
UUAAGCGACUAAGCGUACACGGUGGAUGCCCUGGCAGUCAGAGGCGAUGAAGGGCGUGCUAAUCUGCGAUAAGCGCCGGUAAGGUGAUAUGAACCGUUAUAACCGGCGAUACCCGAAUGGGGAAACCCAGUGUGACUCGUCACACUAUCAUUAACUGAAUCCAUAGGUUAAUGAGGCGAACCGGGGGAACUGAAACAUCUAAGUACCCCGAGGAAAAGAAAUCAACCGAGAUUCCCCCAGUAGCGGCGAGCGAACGGGGAGGAGCCCAGAGCCUGAAUCAGCAUGUGUGUUAGUGGAAGCGUCUGGAAAGGCGCGCGAUACAGGGUGACAGCCCCGUACACAAAAGCGCAUGUGCUGUGAGCUCGAUGAGUAGGGCGGGACACGUGGUAUCCUGUCUGAAUAUGGGGGGACCAUCCUCCAAGGCUAAAUACUCCUGACUGACCGAUAGUGAACCAGUACCGUGAGGGAAAGGCGAAAAGAACCCCGGCGAGGGGAGUGAAAAAGAACCUGAAACCGUGUACGUACAAGCAGUGGGAGCACCCUUUGGGGUGUGACUGCGUACCUUUUGUAUAAUGGGUCAGCGACUUAUAUUCUGUAGCAAGGUUAACCGUAUAGGGGAGCCGUAGGGAAACCGAGUCUUAACCGGGCGUUAAGUUGCAGGGUAUAGACCCGAAACCCGGUGAUCUAGCCAUGGGCAGGUUGAAGGUUGGGUAACACUAACUGGAGGACCGAACCGACUAAUGUUGAAAAAUUAGCGGAUGACCUGUGGCUGGGGGUGAAAGGCCAAUCAAACCGGGAGAUAGCUGGUUCUCCCCGAAAGCUAUUUAGGUAGCGCCUCGUGAAUUCAUCUCCGGGGGUAGAGCACUGUUUCGGCUAGGGGGGCCAUCCCGGCUUACCAACCCGAUGCAAACUGCGAAUACCGGAGAAUGUUAUCACGGGAGACACACGGCGGGUGCUAAACGUCCGUCGUGAAGAGGGAAACAACCCAGACCGCCAGCUAAGGUCCCAAAGUCAUGGUUAAGUGGGAAAACGAUGUGGGAAGGCCCAGACAGCCAGGAUGUUGGCUUAGAAGCAGCCAUCAUUUAAAGAAAGCGUAAUAGCUCACUGGUCGAGUCGGCCUGCGCGGAAGAUGUAACGGGGCUAAACCAUGCACCGAAGCUGCGGCAGCGACGCUUAUGCGUUGUUGGGUAGGGGAGCGUUCUGUAAGCCUGUGAAGGUGGCCUGUGAGGGUUGCUGGAGGUAUCAGAAGUGCGAAUGCUGACAUAAGUAACGAUAAAGCGGGUGAAAAGCCCGCUCGCCGGAAGACCAAGGGUUCCUGUCCAACGUUAAUCGGGGCAGGGUGAGUCGACCCCUAAGGCGAGGCCGAAAGGCGUAGUCGAUGGGAAACAGGUUAAUAUUCCUGUACUUGGUGUUACUGCGAAGGGGGGACGGAGAAGGCUAUGUUGGCCGGGCGACGGUUGUCCCGGUUUAAGCGUGUAGGUGUGUGUUCCAGGUAAAUCCGGUUCACUUUAACACUGAGGCGUGACGACGAGGCACUACGGUGCUGAAGCAACAAAUGCCCUGCUUCCAGGAAAAGCCUCUAAGCAUCAGGUAACAUCAAAUCGUACCCCAAACCGACACAGGUGGUCAGGUAGAGAAUACCAAGGCGCUUGAGAGAACUCGGGUGAAGGAACUAGGCAAAAUGGUGCCGUAACUUCGGGAGAAGGCACGCUGACACGUAGGUGAAGUGAUUUACUCACGGAGCUGAAGUCAGUCGAAGAUACCAGCUGGCUGCAACUGUUUAUUAAAAACACAGCACUGUGCAAACACGAAAGUGGACGUAUACGGUGUGACGCCUGCCCGGUGCCGGAAGGUUAAUUGAUGGGGUCAGCGCAAGCGAAGCUCCUGAUCGAAGCCCCGGUAAACGGCGGCCGUAACUAUAACGGUCCUAAGGUAGCGAAAUUCCUUGUCGGGUAAGUUCCGACCUGCACGAAUGGCGUAAUGAUGGCCAGGCUGUCUCCACCCGAGACUCAGUGAAAUUGAACUCGCUGUGAAGAUGCAGUGUACCCGCGGCAAGACGGAAAGACCCCGUGAACCUUUACUAUAGCUUGACACUGAACAUUGAGCCUUGAUGUGUAGGAUAGGUGGGAGGCUUUGAAGUGUGGACGCCAGUCUGCAUGGAGCCGACCUUGAAAUACCACCCUUUAAUGUUUGAUGUUCUAACGUGGACCCGUGAUCCGGGUUGCGGACAGUGUCUGGUGGGUAGUUUGACUGGGGCGGGUCUCCUCCUAAAGAGUAACGGAGGAGCACGAAGGUUGGCUAAUCCUGGUCGGACAUCAGGAGGUUAGUGCAAUGGCAUAAGCCAGCUUGACUGCGAGCGUGACGGCGCGAGCAGGUGCGAAAGCAGGUCAUAGUGAUCCGGUGGUUCUGAAUGGAAGGGCCAUCGCUCAACGGAUAAAAGGUACUCCGGGGAUAACAGGCUGAUACCGCCCAAGAGUUCAUAUCGACGGCGGUGUUUGGCACCUCGAUGUCGGCUCAUCACAUCCUGGGGCUGAAGUAGGUCCCAAGGGUAUGGCUGUUCGCCAUUUAAAGUGGUACGCGAGCUGGGUUUAGAACGUCGUGAGACAGUUCGGUCCCUAUCUGCCGUGGGCGCUGGAGAACUGAGGGGGGGCUGCUCCUAGUACGAGAGGACCGGAGUGGACGCAUCACUGGUGUUCGGGUUGUCAUGCCAAUGGCACUGCCCGGUAGCUAAAUGCGGAAGAGAUAAGUGCUGAAAGCAUCUAAGCACGAAACUUGCCCCGAGAUGAGUUCUCCCUGAGACUUAGAGUCUCCUGAAGGAACGUUGAAGACGACGACGUUGAUAGGCCGGGGUGUGUAAGCGCAGCGAUGCGUUGAGCUAACCGGUACUAAUGAACCGUGGAGGCUUAACCUU